CCCUGGACCCGGCGUUUGUUCUCUAACUUGGAUGACCCUCUCCAGCCCUCCCUCUCAUUAGGAACCUCUCCAGCCCUCUCUGCACGAGGUCAAGGAGGCUUUUUCCGAGCUGCGUGAACUGCUCUGCAACAAGCUCCACGUGGAACCCGUCAACUUCAGGCUCCUGUCAAAGUCCUCAUCACCCACCCACCACCCCCCUUUGGACAGGAAUUCAUCUCUGCUUACCACCAUGCCUUCCAUGGGGUGGUGGCUCAUGCGCUGGCCUGCCGGUCCCACUGAGACACCCCCAGGGAGAAGUGGCCGCCUCCUGCUGGUCUCCCCUUCCAGCCCCCAUGUGACGCUUGACCCUCUAAUAAAUCCUCCCUCUGCAAUCUGA